rnacentral:lncRNA from 1 species
AACAGGCACAAUGACAAAAGUACAGUGUCUGUUGGGGUAUCGGGGGGCAGGACCUCACUUUCUCCUCUCUGCUCGCUCUCCAGGGAGCACCCUAUUGGAGACAAGAGCUUCCAGAACUACAUCAGGCAGCAGUCUGAGAUCUCAACCCAUUCCAUUUAAGGUCACAGCACUUCCCAGAACGGUGCUGUUGAGCCACACCAGGAAAAAGCAGACGAAAGAAGACAGAAUACAUACAUGGAGAGGAACCAUGUUCACCCGUUCACUCGGGCCCCACCACGCUGGCGGGGCCACCGAGAGCCAAGCAUGCUCCUUCCCCAGCAGGAACUGUUGCCUGGGCUGUGCACGCCCCUCCGCUGCCAGCACAGGUGGUCUGAGCCAUCCUGGAAUGUAUGAGCAUCGUCUUUUUACUCCUUUAAUCGUACAGGGAUCCAGGGAUCUGUUAAAUAGUAGGGAACUGUGGACUCUGUCUAAAUCUGUUCCCCCCGUGGUCCAGCCCCUCUUUGCAGCGGCACAUGGUUCGUCCAUGUUAGCGUGCACCUUCUGUAGUGUGCACUGUCUCUUGUUCCUUGCCUGCUGGUCUCUAUUACAUGUAGCCGUCUGGCCCUCGCCC